rnacentral:lncRNA from 1 species
AAGUUGUCUGUGUACAUGACCCUGUACACCCUCACCCACGUGGUGUUGCUCAUCUACGAGGCAGAAGUGAGUGUCCAAAGCUCCUGCCAGCCCCUCUCCUUCCUGCCCUGUCUACCGCCCCUCCCCACAGAGCGUCCUCUUUCUCGCCCUGAGUUUCUGCCUUUCCCAUCUGUCUCUCAGUGACUCCUCUCUCUUCACCAUUUCUGAGUAGCUUUCUUCCUCCUUGUCUCUCACUUGUCCCCAUGUCCAAGAGUCAGAGACCUAGUUCUGUUUAAGCUCCCCCACUUCCUAGAUGGCCAUUCCCACCCUCGCCCUGAGCUUGUUUCUGCUGGUGGGAAGUUAGGAGGAGCUUGGCCCUAUCUUCAGGACUCUGUUAGGGGCUUUCCACCUCUUGUAUGGGAUGAUAGUAGGGCUUCUCUCUGUGUCAGUGUGGAUGGAUGAGUUACGCAGGGUGUGAGUGAUAGCAUUUAGUCCCACAGUGGGCACAAAGUAGUUGUUGUGGGCUCCUUAUAUACCUAUUAUAAUUCUAGCCCCAUCCCUAGCGGUCCCACCACUUCUGGCCUGACCCUUUUCUCUGUUCCAGCCCUUGGUGCCUGAGGGUGGGGUCCAGGGUCAGAGGCCAGAGCUUUGACCACCCUUGUUUUGUGGGUCCAGUUCUUUGACCCAGGCCAGGUACUAUACACAUACGAGUCUCCGGCUGGUUAUGGACUCAUC